UGAAUGAUAGCAAAGGGGGCUGAUUACUACCUAUCUCAGAUACCAGGAAAUCCAAAAAUGGCUUAAGUUCAAAA